rnacentral:rRNA from 1 species
GUCGAGCGAACGGAUAAGGAGCUUGCUCCUUUGAAGUUAGCGGCGGACGGGUGAGUAACACGUGGGUAACCUACCUAUAAGACUGGGAUAACUUCGGGAAACCGGAGCUAAUACCGGAUAACAUUUAGAACCGCAUGGUUCUAAAGUGAAAGAUGGUUUUGCUAUCACUUAUAGAUGGACCCGCGCCGUAUUAGCUAGUUGGUAAGGUAACGGCUUACCAAGGCGACGAUACGUAGCCGACCUGAGAGGGUGAUCGGCCACACUGGAACUGAGACACGGUCCAGACUCCUACGGGAGGCAGCAGUAGGGAAUCUUCCGCAAUGGGCGAAAGCCUGACGGAGCAACGCCGCGUGAGUGAUGAAGGGUUUCGGCUCGUAAAACUCUGUUAUUAGGGAAGAACAAAUGUGUAAGUAACUGUGCACAUCUUGACGGUACCUAAUCAGAAAGCCACGGCUAACUACGUGCCAGCAGCCGCGGUAAUACGUAGGUGGCAAGCGUUAUCCGGAAUUAUUGGGCGUAAAGCGCGCGUAGGCGGUUUCUUAAGUCUGAUGUGAAAGCCCACGGCUCAACCGUGGAGGGUCAUUGGAAACUGGGAAACUUGAGUGCAGAAAGAGGAAAGUGGAAUUCCAUGUGUAGCGGUGAAAUGCGCAUAGAUAUGGAGGAACACCAGUGGCGAAGGCGACUUUCUGGUCUGUAACUGACGCUGAUGUGCGAAAGCGU